UAUGCAGGUAGACAGGAGGAGCUUGUGAUGGCAGAGAGAGAAAGAAAGAAAAAAGGAAGGGGGGGAAGAAAGACAGAGGGGGAAAAUGAAUGGAGGAGAGAGAAAGGGAGGAGAAGAGAGAAAGAAGGAAGGGAAACAGAUGAAGAUUCGUCCCUUUCCUGCAUCUAGAAACUGAUAACACCACCAUCUCAUUAUCAAUGGCAGACAGCAACCUUCUAACUCUGAGAAAACAACCAACCCCAUUCCUGGUUCCCUGCCCAUGGCAACAAUGCUUUUAAGUGACUCCAUCUGACAAGAAGGGGCUGCCUCCCCUCCACUGCUGAAUCCAGAAGGAAUGGAGAAUUAUCAAGGCACAGGAUUUGACUCCCUGGAGAAUCAAGUCCUAAGAAUUCCUUCCAAGUCCCCGGCCCCUUUCAACACCACUACAGCCACAGAAGCAUACUUUCUUCUCAAGUCUACCAUUCUUCAAGUAUAAAAGGAAGAUGGGGAAACCAGGAUGA